rnacentral:rRNA from 1 species
UAACGAAUCUUCCGCAAUGGGCGCAAGCCUGACGGAGCAAUGCCGCGUGCCAGAAGAAGCUCCUCGGAGUGUAAAUGGCUUUCAGGGUUAGGUAAUCUCGAACCGACUCAGAAGAAGGGGCGACUAACUUCGUGCCAGCAGUCGCGGUAAGACGAAGGCCCCGAGCGUUACUCGGAUUCACUGGGCUUAAAGGGUGCGUAGGCGGAUCGGAAUGUGCUUUGUGAAAUCCCACGGCUCAACCGUGGAACUGCAAGGUAGACGACCGGUCUGGAGACAGCUAGGGGCAACUGGAACUCUAGGUGGAGCGGUGAAAUGCGUAGAUAUCUAGAGGAACGCCGAUGGUGAAAACAGGUUGCUGGGGCUGUUCUGACGCUGAGGCACGAAAGCGUGGGGAGCAAACG